rnacentral:rRNA from 1 species
UACAGAGGGUGCGAGCGUUGUCCGGAAUCACUGGGCGUAAAGGGCGCGUAGGUGGCUCGUUAAGCGUGUGGUGAAAGCCUGGGGCUCAACCCCAGGUCUGCCGUGCGAACUGGCGAGCUUGAGCAGAGUAGAGGCGGGUGGAAUUCGGGUGUAGCGGUGGAAUGCGUAGAUAUCCGAAAGAACACCGGUGGCGAAGGCGGCC